rnacentral:lncRNA from 1 species
CUCGGUCCAGCCUGUGAGGACAUAGCAAGAAGGCCCAUCUAGGAAGCAGAGACCAAGCCCUCACCAGACACGGCAUCUGUUGAUCUUCCCAGCCUCCAGAACUGUCCCACCUCUUAACACUAUUGCAUUGGAGAUUCAGUUUCCAACAUGCGAACUUUGAGGGGACACGUUCAAAGCACAGCACCUGGUCCAGUUCUGAGAAAAACAUUCCCACAGACGGACUUUCUCCAAAAUAUCUGACUAGUACUCCUCAAAACUAUCAAGGCCAUCAAAAACAAGGAAAAUCUGCGACACUGUCACAGCCAAGCAGAGCCUGAGGAGACAUGAGGACCUGAG